GGACAGACCCAGGAAGCUCUUGAAGACUCGGAGGGACUCAGGAACCCAGAGGGAUUAGGAUUAGAGGUGGAGGACGGGGAAUUGGGUGCCGGUGACUCCCAGGACUGGAGCGAGGACGGGGGGAGGACCAGGGACGGUGGGGUUGACAUUACAUCGUCGGAGGAGUACUUUGACUCGCGGUCGUGGCACAGUGACACGCUGUGUGAUACUCUGUCAGACCUGAGUCCGGACAGCAGCGAGGACUCUCUGUCUGCCAUACUGGGGGUGGAGGACGUACGCACGGGAUGGAAGAACAGCAGACACCACACCGCUGGGGACUGUAGAGCCAGACGCACAGCCGAGAGGAGCCUGAACAGCCACAGCACAGAGAACGCAGAGACUGACGUACGCGGACCCAGCAAAGAGAAACACAACCAGACCUGCACAGAGACAGCACAGAGUCAGCCUGGCAACACAGAGAAGAAACAACACAAUCACAGGACAGAAACACAGCACAGCACAGAGUUGCACAAUCAGCUCAGCACAGUGAUACAUAAGACAGGAGUAGCAACCCAGCACAACCAAGGGAAAGUCAGCACAGAGGUUCGUAUCACUGAAAUCACAGGUAAUCAGAAUGCACCAACGUUAGUGCUUCACACAGAGUCACACAAACCGAAGCGCUCAGACAGACACAAAAUCGACAUCGCACAAAGCCCAGAAACAUUUGCACAGAGAAACAACACAGAGGAAACUAGCAGAGAGACACGAACGCUGAGCAGCACCGAGAAACAGAGCACAGGGUUCGAAAACACAGCUUGCACAGAGAAACAGAGCACAGGCACUAAAUGCACAGGGAUAUGUAAACAACAUAGCGUAGAUAUACAAAGUAUAGAUCUGCUGUCCACUCUACACAGUGUAGAGAAAGAGAAUUCACAAAUACACAACAGUCACCUAGAGCAGGUAAACCUUGCCAGCCAGGAUACAUCUAGAGCCUAUGGAGAGGAGACAACAAAUCAACACAGUUCAGAGACACACUACAUAGACACACACAACACAACAGACGCACAGUGUUCAGACAUAUCUGGCAAACACGUGACACUUUGCAGAGAUACACCCAACACACUCAAAGCAGAGACACACUGUAGGCUCGCGCACAACAAUCACAGCUCAGACAUACACUUA
rnacentral:lncRNA from 13 species